GUCUACGGCCAUGCCACCCUGAAUGCGCCCUAUCCCAUCUGAUCUCGGAAGCUAAGCGGGGUCGGGCCUGGUUAGUACUCGGAUAGGAGACCACCUAGGAAGACCGGGUGCUGUAGGCG
rnacentral:rRNA from 1 species